UACGUAGGGGGCUAGCGUUGUCCGGAAUCAUUGGGCGUAAAGAGCGUGUAGGCGGCCCGGUAAGUCCGCUGUAAAAGUCAAAGGCUCAACCUUUGAAUGUCAGUGGAUACUGCCGGGCUAGAGUCCGGAAGAGGAGUGUGGAAUUCCUGGUGUAGCGGUGAAAUGCGCAGAUAUCAGGAGGAACACCAAUGGCGAAGGCAGCACUCUGGGACGUGACUGACGCUGAGACGCGAAAGCGUGGGGAGCAAACAGG
rnacentral:rRNA from 1 species